rnacentral:rRNA from 1 species
UGCCAGCAGCCGCGGUAAUACGUAUGUCUCAAGCGUUACCCGGAAUCACUGGGUGUAAAGGGUUCGUAGGCGGUUAAAUAAGUUGGAUAUGAAAGACCGGGGCUCAACCCCGCGUUGGUGUUCAAAACUGUUUAACUAGAAUCAGGGAGAGGUAAGUGGAAUUCUGUGUGUAGGGGUGCAAUCCGUAGAUACACAGAGGAACACCAAAAGCGAAGGCAACUUACUGGAACUGUAUUGACGCUCAUGAACGAAAGCGUGGGUAGCGAAAAGGAUUAGAUA